rnacentral:rRNA from 1 species
UACGUAGGUGGCAAGCGUUGUCCGGAUUUACUGGGCGUAAAGAGCGCGCAGGCGGUCGGAUUAGUCGCGUGUGAAAGCCCCCGGCUCAACUGGGGAGGGUCACGCGAUACUGUUCGACUCGAAGGCAGGAGAGGGAAGUGGAAUUCCCGGUGUAGUGGUGAAAUGCGUAGAUAUCAGGAGGAACACCAGUGGCGAAGGCGACUUCCUGGCCUGUUCUUGACGCUGAGGCGCGAAAGCUAGGGUAGCAAACGGG